rnacentral:pre_miRNA from 1 species
GGGGAGAGGUCGGAUCCUGGGCUGUGUCCCGGGGCCUUGUGCUCCGGGUCUGCGCUGUUGGAUUCAUGCUCCCGGCGGUGCAGCCGCCU